GACGAACGCUGGCGGCGUGCUUAACACAUGCAAGUCGAACGGAAAGGCCCUGCUUUUGUGGGGUGCUCGAGUGGCGAACGGGUGAGUAACACGUGAGUAACCUGCCCUUGACUUUGGGAUAACUUCAGGAAACUGGGGCUAAUACCGGAUAGGAGCUCCUGCUGCAUGGUGGGGGUUGGAAAGUUUCGGCGGUUGGGGAUGGACUCGCGGCUUAUCAGCUUGUUGGUGGGGUAGUGGCUUACCAAGGCUUUGACGGGUAGCCGGCCUGAGAGGGUGACCGGCGACAUUGGGACUGAGAUACGGCCCAGACUCCUACGGGAGGCAGCAGUGGGGAAUAUUGCACAAUGGGCGGAAGCCUGAUGCAGCAACGCCGCGUGCGGGAUGACGGCCUUCGGGUUGUAAAGCGCUUUCGCCUGUGACGAAGCGUGAGUGACGGUAAUGGGUAAAGAAGCACCGGCUAACUACGUG
rnacentral:rRNA from 1 species